AGGUACAAAAUUCAACCACGUUAAACAACUCCACAAAAAGCAAGAACUUAGUGGCGAGUGAAAUUUUACCUUCGGUUGGGGCGACCACGGAGGAGAAAAAAGCCUCCGAGUGGACUGGGCCAAAUCCCAAAGCCAAUAGAUACAUCUAUAAGCCACAGAACAUCUGACCAAUAAUGAUCCGGCUGAAAAGCCGAUCAACGAACCAAGUUACCCUAGGGAUAACAGCGCAAUCCUCUCCCAGAGUCCAUAUCGACGAGGGGGUUUACGACCUCGAUGUUGGAUCAGGACAUCCUAAUGGUGCAGCCGCUAUUAAG
rnacentral:rRNA from 1 species